AGCGAACGCUGGCGGCAGGCCUAACACAUGCAAGUCGAACGAACUCUUCGGAGUUAGUGGCGGACGGGUGAGUAACACGUGGGAACGUGCCUUUAGGUUCGGAAUAACUCAGGGAAACUUGUGCUAAUACCGAAUGUGCCCUUCGGGGGAAAGAUUUAUCGCCUUUAGAGCGGCCCGCGUCUGAUUAGCUAGUUGGUGAGGUAAAGGCUCACCAAGGCGACGAUCAGUAGCUGGUCUGAGAGGAUGAUCAGCCACAUUGGGACUGAGACACGGCCCAAACUCCUACGGGAGGCAGCAGUGGGGAAUCUUGCGCAAUGGGCGAAAGCCUGACGCAGCCAUGCCGCGUGAAUGAUGAAGGUCUUAGGAUUGUAAAAUUCUUUCACCGGGGACGAUAAUGACGGAACCCGGAGAAGAAGCCCCGGCUAACUUCGU
rnacentral:rRNA from 1 species